rnacentral:lncRNA from 1 species
AGCAGAGUGCUCCAGCUCCCGCGGAGGAGGCUGCGGGCGGCGCCCCGGGAUAGGGACCCUGCAGCUCCAGGUAGACGCAGGGAGCGCGGGACUCGCCCCCUGGCAGGGUGAGGUAGAGCCGGACCGUUUGCUCUCUGCUGCUCCCCGGGACUCCAGCCGCGCCCGUGAGAAGAGGCAGCACGGCAGCAAAGGCCAAGGAGCGGAGGGAGUUGAACUUGUCAAAUUAAUGUCUACAGUGAUAUGUAUGAAACAAAGGGAAGAAGAAUUCUUGCUAACCAUCAGACCUUUUGCAAACAGGAUGCAGGUAACCCCACACCAUUAGGAUUGAGGCACAUGUGCUCACUUUAAAGCUGCUGGUAUUGUUCCUAAGAAGUUGCACAAGCCUGGGCUUUUAACUGAAGACAAACUUUUCACUGACAUAUAAAAAACUACAAAUGCUCUGGUAAUGUAAGCUGGAUCACAGUGAAAUCUCUAUAAUUUGAAUUAUGAGUUGAAUUCAAAUUGAAGUAUGAAAUCUAUGGCCAUUGUACUUUGUUAUUUCACUAAGAGUGCUAU